UGGGGAAUAUUGCACAAUGGGCGCAAGCCUGAUGCAGCCAUGCCGCGUGUAUGAAGAAGGCCUUCGGGUUGUAAAGUACUUUCAGCGGGGAGGAAGGCGAUAAGGUUAAUAACCUUGUCGAUUGACGUUACCCGCAGAAGAAGCACCGGCUAACUCCGUGCCAGCAGCCGCGGUAAUACGGAGGGGGCAAGCGUUAAUCGGCAUUACUGGGCGUAAAGCGCACGCAGGCGGUCUGUCAAGUCGGAUGUGAAAUCCCCGGGCUCAACCUGGGAACUGCAUUCGAAACUGGCAGGCUAGAGUCUUGUAGAGGGGGGUAGAAUUCCAGGUGUAGCGGUGAAAUGCGUAGAGAUCUGGAGGAAUACCGGUGGCGAAGGCGGCCCCCUGGACAAAGACUGACGCUCAGGUGCGAAAGCGUGGGGAGCAAACA
rnacentral:rRNA from 1 species